UUUAUACUCGUUAAGCAAUAACUCCUGCCUGCAAUGCAGGAGACCUGGGUUUGAUCCCUGGGUUUGGAA
rfam:Ovis aries breed Texel chromosome 2, whole genome shotgun sequence.